rnacentral:rRNA from 1 species
CGGGAUUAGAUACCCCGGUAGUCCACGCCGUAAACGAUGGAUACUCGGCGUUGCGCGUUCGACAGCGCGCAGUGCUCAAGCUAACGCAUUAAGUAUCCCGCCUGUGGAGUACGAGCGCAAGCUUAAAACACAAAGGAAUAGACGGGGGCCCACACAAGCGGUGGAUCACGUUGUUUAAUUUGCAGCCAAGCGGAGAACCUAACCAGGCCUUGCAUCCCGAAAGCGUCUCAGAAAUGAGAAAGUGCUCGCAAGAGAAUUCGGUGACAGGUGCUGCAUGGUCGUCGUCAGCUCGUGUUGUGAAACGUAGCCUUAAGUGGUUUAACGAGCGCAACCCUCAUCGUAUGUUGUAGUUUUCAUACGAGACUGCCAGGGUAACCUGGAGGAAGGAGAGGAUGACGUCAGAUCAGCAUGGCCCUUAUGGCCUGGGCGACAGACGUGAUACAAUGGCUGGUACAACGGGUAGCGACAGCGCGAGCUUGAGCCAAUCCUUAUAAAGCCAGUCCCAGUCCGGAUUGGAGUCUGCAACUCGACUCCAUGAAGUCGGAAUCGCUAGUAAUCGCGGGUCAGCCACACCGCGGUGAAUAUGUUCCUGGGCCUUGUACUCACCGCCCGUCAAACCACGGAAGUCGGAAACGCCCGAAGCGCGCAUUCUUUGCGCACCACGGCGGAAUCGGUGACUGGGGUUAAGUCGUAACAAGGUA